GUAUCUGAGGUCUGACGAGGAUGAGAACCUCCGGGGGCAAGAGGUUCGACCCGAGCGAAGCGAGAGAACGUUGCGCCAGCAACGGCCCGCAGUGGCAAGUCAUCCUCUGUCACCGACAG
rnacentral:sRNA from 1 species